GACGAACGCUGGCGGCGUGCUUAACACAUGCAAGUCGAACGGAAAGGCCCUGCUUUUGUGGGGUGCUCGAGUGGCGAACGGGUGAGUAACACGUGAGUAACCUGCCCUUGACUUUGGGAUAACUUCAGUAAACUGGGGCUAAUACCGGAUAGGAGCUCCUGCUGCCUGGUGGGGGUUGGAGAGUUUCGGCGGUUGGGGAUGGACUCGCGGCUUAUCAGCUUGUUGGUGGGGUAGUGGCUUACCAAGGCUUUGACGGGUAGCCGGCCUGAGAGGGUGACCGGCCACAUUGGGACUGAGAUGAGGCCCAGACUCCUACGGGAGGCAGCAGUGGGGAAUAUUGCACCAUGGGCGGAAGCCUGAUGCAGCAACGCCGCGUGCGGGAUGAAGGCCUUCGGGUUGUAAACCGCUUUCGCCUGUGACGAAGCGUGAGUGACGGUAAUGGGUAAAGAAGCACCGGCUAACUACGUG
rnacentral:rRNA from 1 species